ACCGAUUUCAUUAAACUCACUAAUCAGAUUAAGUUGAUGUGUUGUUUAACCCAUCAUCCUUAGAUUAGUCUUACUAGAUUUGUAUUACAUUUACAGCCAUUGGAUGUACUUCAUUAUGCUCUAAUUGUGAUUUAGCUUAGAAAUAGCAGCUGAUCGUUAUGAACUUAGCAGUUAGCACUGCUGCCUAAUUUUGCUACUUUAUUGGCUCCUUGAGCCCUCCUCCUCCAAUUUCCUUGGUCGAAGCAUGCUUUCUUUCCUUUCAAUUGUACCUCCUCAAGUUUCGACCAUAGAUUAACCUAGGGAUCAAGCAGAAGAUGGAUUUCAUAUGCUGUUUGUUGGAUAUUUCCAAUUACAGUCGCUCCUUUUUUUGCUCAAAGAAAGAAAAUAUGGGCCCAUUGCUCUAUGCUUGUCAUGCGCAUUCCUCCAUCUGGAAUGAUUCCUUUUCUCUUUUUUAAAAUAAUUUCUUGCAUUUUUAUACCUGAAUAUUAGCGCUUUAGGGUUUUCCUCUUAUUAAUUUGUUAUAAAUCAAACAAUUUGGAGUUUUUGUAUAAGCAAACAGCGGUUUGGUUUUCUAAUCUGCUUGGGGAUUUUUCUUGAUACAAAAGAAUGUAAAUUUUAAUGACAGUAAUUCUCUCUAUUGUGAGGCACUUCUUCACUCCUAGUAUUUUUCCUAUAUUCCUUUGUUUUGCAAAUAAAUUAAUUAACUAGAUCAGUUCAUAUUGGUUUCAAAAGGAACACAAAGUAUAAACUGCUUUCAGUUGUCACCAAUAUCAUUUGCAAAUUAUGAAUUUUUAGCUUUAAACUGAUAAUCAUUCAGCGUCUGUUUGUUGGACUGAAAACAUUUUCUCGAAAACGUUUUCCUGAUUUUUCACUGUUUGGACGCAAUCUAAUUUGGGAAAAUAAUUUCUGAUGAAAAAUAACUUUCACCGAGAGAAGGAAAAUUUCUUCCUUACCUAUUAUUUCGAAGUUAUUUUCCCUUCUUAAUCACGGCCUCUUCUUUUCACCGCCCAUUGAAGACCAUCGGCAAACCACCUUCUUGGCCUGCGGCAUUUCCAGCUCCGGCGAAGACCCACUUCUUUUUAAAAAUAUCUGUCUCCAUCUCCAGCUCCCGCGGCAUCCAAACGUAGGCUACUCUUUUAAUUAGGUCAUUAUCUUUUUAAAAAUCAGCUAUAUUAUCAUCUACUCUUUCACGGCAUCUCCAUCUCCAGCUCCUGCUCCGGCGGCAUCCAGAGCCAAUAUUAACGGCUUUUCCCCCUGUGGCAGCGACAUCUCAUCCCCAUUCCUGCAACAGCAUCUCCAACAAGGGCGAAGACUCCUUAAGCAUUUCCAGAGCAAAAUCCAGGUCAUGACAAGUAUAUUCACAAUAAAAUCGAAUUGUAUGAUGAAAUGGCUGUUGUGGUUGGAAAAGAUCUGGCCACCAGGUCUUUUGCAAAAUCAUUUGUCAAUGUGAAUUUGGAAACUCCAUUUGUUCCUAAGACAAGUGUAGAGACAAGUGAAGAGACGAGUGUGCAAAAGGAUGUGACUAGUGCAAGAUCCUCAGAAGUGAGAGCAAUAUCGUCGGGAACAAAACAACAUCGUAAAAGAAAUUGCAGCAAUGAAGAUAUGGAAAAGAUGUCUCAACAACUUGGAGAAGUGGCAGCUGCUUUGAACAAAAUUAGUGCAAACAAGCUUGAUAUCAGCCAACUACAUGAUGAGAUUAUGAAGAUAGAAGGUUAUAGCGGAGAAUUUCUGUACUUGGUAUUCGAUCAUUUGGUGCAAAAUGAGAAGCUGGGAAAAGCAUUUAUGGCGAAGAGUCAAAGACUUCGUUUGAUUUCUCUCGAGAGGUUCAAGAAAUAUUGGGGUGAAUGAAGUACUUAUUAUGUGAUGGCAGCAAGAAAGUAACAGAAACUGUAUUAUAAGCAAGCAUCAUAUUCUUGGAAAGUCUCUUCAACUGCAUAGUGUUUUUUAUUGUCAUUAUCUUUUGUAUUUAUAGGAAAACCACUUGCCUUGUUUUGGAAGUACUAGAAUUCCAGAAUUCUCUGCUUAAAGUAAUAUACCAAUUCCUUUGCACC